AUGGCUCUUAGAAAUAGACUGAGGUUCUCCUCCCUGGUGCAAAGAGACAAGGACAGCAGCAUGGGGUUGCUCCGUGUGGAAAUCCACAGACCAGGCCAGGCUGGAAAGUGUGGAUGACACUCAGAAGAGAGGCAGCUUUAGAAAGGAUGGUGGCCGUGAGAAGUCCCCGUAAGGAUUAACACGAUGGGAAUUGUUCACCUUUCCCUUUAAAAACGUUCCAUAUUAACAAAUUCUCAGCUCUAAAUCCUUUGGAAAUGUCUUGAAAGGAA
rnacentral:lncRNA from 12 species